CCUACGGGAGGCAGCAGUCGAGAAUCAUUCACAAUGGGGGAAACCCUGAUGGUGCGACGCCGCGUGGGGGAAUGACGGUCUUCGGAUUGUAAACCCUUGUCAUGUGGGAGCAAAUUACAAAGACAGUACCACAAGAGGCAGAGACGGCUAACUCUGUGCCAGCAGCCGCGGUAAUACAGAGGUCUCAAGCGUUGUUCGGAAUCACUGGGCGUAAAGCGUGCGUAGGCUGUUUCGUAAGUCGUGUGGUAAAGGCGCGGGCUCAACCCGCGGACGGCACAUGAUACUGCGAGACUAGAGUAAUGGAGGGGGAAGCGGAAUUCUCGGUGUAGCAGUGAAAUGCGUAGAUAUCGAGAGGAACACUCGUGGCGAAGGCGGGUUCCUGGACAUUAACUGACGCUGAGGCACGAAGGCCAGGGGAGCGAAAGGGAUUAGAUACCCUUGUAAGUC
rnacentral:rRNA from 1 species